rnacentral:miRNA from 1 species
AUGAAGCCCUCUUGAUAAGC